AGCGAACGCUGGCGGCAGGCUUAACACAUGCGAGUCGAGCGGGCACUUCGGUGUCAGCGGCAGACGGGUGAGUAACACGUGGGAACGUACCCUUUGGUUCGGAAUAACGCUGGGAAACUAGCGCUAAUACCGGAUACGCCCUUUUGGGGAAAGGCUUGCUGCCGAAGGAUCGGCCCGCGUCUGAUUAGCUAGUUGGUGGGGUAAUGGCCUACCAAGGCGACGAUCAGUAGCUGGUCUGAGAGGAUGAUCAGCCACACUGGGACUGAGACACGGCCCAAACUCCUACGGGAGGCAGCAGUGGGGAAUAUUGGACAAUGGGCGCAAGCCUGAUCCAGCCAUGCCGCGUGAGUGAUGAAGGCCUUAGGGUUGUAAAGCUCUUUUGUCCGGGACGAUAAUGACGGUACCGGAAGAAUAAGCCCCGGCUAACUUCGUG
rnacentral:rRNA from 1 species